rnacentral:piRNA from 1 species
UAAACAAAAAAACAAGGAAUGUCACUCUC